rnacentral:rRNA from 1 species
AGUGAACGCUGGCGGUAGGCCUAACACAUGCAAGUCGAACGGCAGCACAGUAAGCGCUUGCUCUUACGGGUGGCGAGUGGCGGACGGGUGAGGAAUACAUCGGAAUCUACUUUUUCGUGGGGGAUAACGUAGGGAAACUUACGCUACUACCGCAUACGACCUACGGGUGAAAGCAGGGGAUCUUCGGACCUUGCGCGAUUGAAUGAGCCGAUGUCGGAUUAGCUAGUUGGCGGGGUAAGGGCCCACCAAGGCGACGAUCCGUAGCUGGUCUGAGAGGAUGAUCAGCCACACUGGAACUGAGACACGGUCCAGACUCCUACGGGAGGCAGCAGUGGGGAAUAUUGGACAAUGGGCGCAAGCCUGAUCCAGCCAUACCGCGUGGGUGAAGAAGGCCUUCGGGUUGUAAAGCCCUUUUGUUGGGAAAGAAAAGCAGCAGGUUAAUACCCCGCUGUUCUGACGGUACCCAAAGAAUAAGCACCGGCUAACUUCGUG